ACCACCAGAAGUGGUUGUCUUAGUGCUAC
rnacentral:piRNA from 1 species